CAGUAGCCGCGGUAAUACGUAGGGUGCGAGCGUUAACCGGAAUUACUGGGCGUAAAGCGUGCGCAGGCGGUUGUGUAAGACAGGUGUGAAAUCCCCGGGCUUAACCUGGGAACUGCGCUUGUGACUGCACAGCUAGAGUAUGGCAGAGGGGGGGUGGAAUUCCACGUGUAGCAGUGAAAUGCGUAGAGAUGUGGAGGAACACCGAUGGCGAAGGCAGCCCCCUGGGCCAAUACUGACGCUCAUGCACGAAAGCGUGGGGAGCAAACAGGAUUAGAUACCCGUGUAGUCCCUGUCUCUUAUU
rnacentral:rRNA from 1 species